UACAGAGGUCUCAAGCGUUGUUCGGAUUUAUUGGGCGUAAAGGGCGCGUAGGCGGCGGGGUAAGUCGGGUGUGAAAUCUCAGGGCUCAACCCUGAAACUGCACUUGAUACUGCUCUGCUUGAGGACUGGAGAGGAGACUGGAAUUCACGGUGUAGCAGUGAAAUGCGUAGAUAUCGUGAGGAAGACCAGUGGCGAAGGCGGGUCUCUGGACAGUUCCUGACGCUGAGGCACGAAGGUCAGGGGAGCAAACGGGG
rnacentral:rRNA from 1 species